GACGAACGCUGGCGGCGUGCUUAACACAUGCAAGUCGAACGGAAAGGCCCUGCUUUUGUGGGGUGCUCGAGUGGCGAACGGGUGAGUAACACGUGAGUAACCUGCCCUUGACUUUGGGAUAACUUCAGGAAACUGGGGCUAAUACCGGAUAGGAGCUCCUGCUGCAUGGUGGGGGUUGGAAAGUUUCGGCGGUUGGGGAUGGACUCGCGGCUUAUCAGCUUGUUGGUGGGGUAGUGGCUUACCAAGGCUUUGACGGGUAGCCGGCCUGAGAGGGUGACCGGCCACAUUGGGACUGAGAUACGGCCAAGACUCCUACGGGAGGAAGCAGUGGGGAAUAUUGCACAAUGGGCGGAAGCCUGAUGCAGCAACGCAGCGUGCGGGAUGACGGCCUUCGGGUUGUAAACCGCUUUCGCCUGUGACGAAGCGUGAGUGACGGUAAUGUGUAAAGAAGCACCGGCUAACUACGUG
rnacentral:rRNA from 1 species